UCGUAAUUCGCGUGUCGUGGGAAUCCGUACGCUGACUCACUAACCACCCUUAACUUGCCGCUCUCUCACAAAAGGAGAAAACCAAAAACCCCUCACCUACCCUUUCCCUCCUCGACGAUUGCGAACCAAAAUUCCCUCACCAAUCCAAUUGCUUUUCUCUUUUCCACAGUAUAAAUACCAAAUGAAGGGGAAGAGGAAGGCAGCCGCAAGCCCCAAUAUGGCCUUGAACAAUGCCUUCGAGGAUGGCCACAACAUGGUAGAGGUUUUUGUUCAAGGAGGGAAUGCUGCUGAUGAGAAAGAACGAGAUGGGGUUGAUGAUAAUGAGGAGAAUCGGAAGGAAUGUGAAGGAGAGGAUGAGGAUGAGGAUGAGGACGUGGAUGAGAAUGAGGACGAGGAAGAGAAAGAUGAAGAAGAACGGCCUAAGCUUGAUGAGGGUUUCUUCGAAAUCGAAGCUAUUCGACGCAAACGGGUCCGCAAGGGUCAGCUUCAGUAUCUCAUAAAGUGGCGAGGCUGGCCAGAAACGGCCAACACCUGGGAGCCCUUAGAGAAUUUGCAGUCGUGUUCUGAUGUCAUUGAUUUGUUUGAGGAGAGCUUGCGAUCUGGUAAAUCUUCACGAAAGAGGAAACGCAAAUAUGGAGGUCCUCAUAAUCAGCCCAGGAAGAAGUUGUCACGUUCCUCUGCUGGUUAUAGCAUUACAGGUGUUGAAGUAGACGUAGUUGACAAAUCCUUGUCCUCUGCUCCUCUGAAUAACUCAAGCCAUGUUGAUCCACCUGCGGGUUCAGGUCAUGAAGGAGAGAACAAUGGAGAUGUUAGCAAUGCCAAAACAGUGAAGAAAGCUGAUGAGAAUGGGUACACCAAUGGUUCAAAACAAACUUUUGCCAUGAAAGAGGAUAAUGAAUAUGAUCCAAAGCUUAGUGAGCUCAGGGGAACAAUAUCUACCAAUGAUGUGAAUGCAGAUAAGCUGGCAAUACAUUUCCAAGAUGACAAUGCUUCAAGGGGUGGUGGCUCUACAAAUGGACUUCACAAGGUUGAUUAUGCAGAUUCUAUUCAGAACAGCCGGCGUACAGGUGCUAAGAGAAGGAAGUCUGGUUCUGUGAAGAGGUUUAAGAAGGACUUGGAUAUGUGUGAAUCACUUUGCUUACAAAGUUCACCAUUUUUCUUAAAACCUUCACCAUUGAACGUUUCUGUUGGCUCUGGUGGGGCAACUGCACAACUAGGAAUUGAAAAUGGGACUUUGGUAGGGACUAAUUCAAGUCACAAGCCAGUGGGUGUGAAUUCUACAACUAUCACCAAGAUCCUCAAACCAAUAGGCUUCUCAGCUUCUGUGAUGGACAAUGUUCAGGAUGUGCUGGUAACUUUUGUGGCAUUGAGGUCUGAUGGGAAAGAAGUUGUGGUAGAUAACAGGUUUCUCAAGGCUAAUAAUCCACUUCUGGUACUGAAUGCAGGGCAAGUUCUGUAAUGCUGUAUUUUACCAAUCUUGAAGAAAAGGAAUGUGUAGUACGAAAGCUGGAGCCACAGCUCCAUCUAAUUUUCAUCAAAAGCAGAGAUCCUGAAAAGCUAAGUGGAUGAGAGAAGGAGAAGCCUUUCCUCCACACCAGAUUAAUCAGUAGAGAGAGCAUAUUGCUGCAUCCACAAUCAUAACAUGAUAUCCAUCUUUACCAUGAUCUGCUGUAGUAGAAGCCUAGAAGGUUCUUCCAGCUCAAAUUCCUGAAUUUUGUCCUACAAAAAGGUUCAUGAAAAGCGGGUGAUUCCGGAAAUUAUGCUGCUUGCUCUUGUUGCGUUUUAAAAAUAUUCACAGUUGACACAAUUAGGAGAAUAUUGUACUAACCCACGUCACUCCCUGUAAGCAGAAUUUUUCUGCUUGUCUUCUUGCAGAGAAAUGAAAAAGAGAGUGGGAUUGGCGUGAAAACAACUACUAGAGAGUCCAGAAAUCGUCUUUUCUAUGGUUUUCAUGAUACCCAUUUUUUGUUAUGAAAACAAGGAUAAGAAACAUGUAAAAGAUAGAAAAACGUGCUCUUCAUUCUGCAAACUUUUCUAAAGCUUGAAAACAAAUUUUCAUUUUGGAGUUUGUUACUUGUGCAGGAGAGAGCAAAACAGCAAUGGAGAAUAGUGGAGGGCCAUCACCAUUGGUGCCAUUUCUAAUGCUGGGUGUCCUAGGAUUGAUCGUCUAUGGUCCAAGGUUUAUUGUGUUGCUUCCUCUUCUACUGUUUGUGCUUGUAAACUUGAUUUCUACAUUCUGUACAAGUUAUGGCAUGUGUUGUUCGACAAGGCAGCAAACCAGUGGUUGUCCCCAGGACGCAGAAGGAUAUGGUUUGGGAGCAUUACUUCUACUUGUGCUGUACCUGGUUGGAGUGGGUUAUGCAUCAGGGCAUCAAACCUGCAGUAGCUGUGCCCAAUAUGCUGAAGGAUAUGGAUUGAAGGCAUUACUUCUGCUUCUGCUCUAUCUUGUUUGCAUUGGUUUUACAAAUCAGCGACAAAGCUCUCGCCUUGAUGCUGAAGGAUAUGGUUUAGGAACAUUACUUCUAGUUGCGCUCUUCUAUGUUCUUGUUCUGUGCAACAUUCGGUGAGACGAUCACUUUCUGAGUGGACAGAACGAUUUGAGAGGAAAAGCUGUAUUAUUGAUGAUGUGAAAAAUAUCUGAAGUUA